UACGGAGGGAGCUAGCGUUGUUCGGAAUUACUGGGCGUAAAGCGCGUGUAGGCGGUUGUCCAAGUCGGGUGUGAAAGCCUUGAGCUCAACUCAAGAAAUGCACUCGAUACUGGGUGACUUGAGGACCGGAGAGGAUAGUGGAAUUUCCAGUGUAGUGGUGAAAUACGUAGAGAUUGGGAAGAACACCAGUGGCGAAGGCGGCUAUCUGGACGGUUUCUGACGCUAAGACGCGGAAGCGUGGGGAGCAAACAGG
rnacentral:rRNA from 1 species